rnacentral:rRNA from 1 species
CAGCCGCCACGGGAACACGGAGGGUGCAAGCGUUAAUCGGAAUUACUGGGCGUAAAGCGCACGCAGGCGGUCUGACAAGUCAGAUGUGAAAUCCCCGGGCUUAACCUGGGAACUGCAUUUGAAACUGUCAGGCUGGAGUCUUGUAGAGGGGGGUGGAAUUCCAGGUGUAGCGGUGAAAUGCGUAGAGAUCUGGAGGAAUACCGGUGGCGAAGGCGGCCCCCUGGACAAAGACUGACGCUCAGGUGCGAAAGCGUGGGGAGCAAACAGGAUUAGAUACCCGUGUAGUCCCUGUCUCUUAUAC